GGAGUGCAGCCGGCCCUCAGCUCCAGCCACGUCCCGAGUGAGGCGCUGUGGUCCAACAGCUGCAAGCAGUAAACCGCUGCCAGGCUGGGUUCGGACUGU
ensembl:misc_RNA